rnacentral:rRNA from 1 species
ACGUUAGCGGCGGACGGGUGAGUAACACGUGGGUAACCUACCUAUAAGACUGGGAUAACUUCGGGAAACCGGAGCUAAUACCGGAUAAUAUUUCGAACCGCAUGGUUCGAUAGUGAAAGAUGGUUUUGCUAUCACUUAUAGAUGGACCCGCGCCGUAUUAGCUAGUUGGUGAGGUAACGGCUUACCAAGGCGACGAUACGUAGCCGACCUGAGAGGGUGAUCGGCCACACUGGAACUGAGACACGGUCCAGACUCCUACGGGAGGCAGCAGC